UAAAGUGCGAUAUGUAGUGCGAUUUGCAUGAAUCUGUGAGUCAUCUAAUCUUUGAACGCAACUUGCGCCUCUCUGAGGCAUGUCUGUUUGAGUGCCGCAUAUUCUAUGCAGCAAUGCGAUUUGACCAAUGUCUCUGGACUGGGUCUAAACGUAGCCAGAUAGUGGCCAGUGCUGCUAGUCCGAGUGCUAAGCAUUCUUGGAGUAGCAAUGCAACCACAACACAACUACAAAUUUGGCCUCAAAUCAGGCAAGACUACCCGCUGAACUUAA
rnacentral:misc_RNA from 1 species